UACGUAGGGUGCGAGCGUUGUCCGGAAUUACUGGGCGUAAAGAGCUCGUAGGUGGUUUGUCGCGUUGUUCGUGAAAACUCACAGCUCAACUGUGGGCGUGCGGGCGAUACGGGCAGACUGGAGUACUGCAGGGGAGACUGGAAUUCCUGGUGUAGCGGUGGAAUGCGCAGAUAUCAGGAGGAACACCGGUGGCGAAGGCGGGGCUCUGGGCAGUAACUGACGCUGAGGAGCGAAAGCGUGGGGAGCGAACAGG
rnacentral:rRNA from 1 species